rnacentral:rRNA from 1 species
UACGUAGGUGGCGAGCGUUGUCCGGAAUUACUGGGCGUAAAGGGCGUGUAGGCGGCUUUUUAAGUCAGACGUGAAAUCCCUGGGCUUAACCCAGGACCUGCGUUUGAAACUGGAAGGCUUGAGGACCGGAGAGGGUAGUGGAAUUCCCAGUGUAGCGGUGAAAUGCGUAGAUAUUGGGAGGAACACCAGUGGCGAAGGCGACUGCCUGGACGGCACCUGACGCUGAGGCUAUAAAGCCAGGGGAGAAAACGGG